UACGUCAACAUCCUUAACGAAUUUGCUCACACUCUAACCUGUUCGAAGGCGGUCCCUAACGACGUCAGCAAGCUGUCGCCGCCAGGGUGCCAACGAGAGGCCAGGUGGAACAGCCCUAAAGGUAUUCGUUGCAAUCCUCAAUCCCAAACACCACAUUCCGCCAAAGGUUAUAACACUCCCGAAGGAGCCACAUCCCUCCAGCCUUUUUAUGAUGUGAGAAAUUGACGUUAACCAGCCGACACAAAAGUGCACCAGACCGUUAAGUGGUCGCGAGCCGCGGCGGUUUUGAGGCUCGCCACGGCAGGUGAUCGCUCAGCGGGCGGGUUGAUUUCGCGCCAGCACGACUGACUUCAAGCGUUUCCCUUUCAACAAUUUCACGUACUGUUUAACUCUCUUUUCAAAGUUCUUUUCAUCUUUCCCUCACGGUACUUGUUCGCUAUCGGUCUCUCGCCAAUAUUUAGCCUUAGGUGAUGUUUACCACCCAUUUGGAGCUGCAAUCCCAAACAACUCGACUCUUUGAAAGCGUAUCGUAGAUGAACGCACGACCGGUCACAGACGGGAUUGUCACCCUCUAUGAUGCCCUGUUCCAAGGAACUUCUACCGGCCGCGAGCCCAAGAAAACGCUUCUUCAAAUUACAACUCGGCCUUGAAACAAGGCGGAUUUAAAAUUUGAGCUCUUCCCUCUUCACUCGCCGUUACUAGGGGAAUCCUUGUUAGUUUCUUUUCCUCCGCUUAUUGAUAUCG
rnacentral:rRNA from 1 species